UUUACAAGCUUUCCCCAGCAUUGAUGGUAAGUCAACAUCAUGGGGAGAAUCCUCGUUGCUGUCCCAGUCUUACAUUGUUUAAUUUUGAUUUCUGCUUCUCUGAAGACCUCAAAACAAAAUAUUGUCACCAGAGUUGUCAGACCUGGUGUCAACGUUACUCUGUACUGCAGCGUAGAACACUCUGAAGAAACCCUUUGGUACGGACAGCGAUGCAAUGAGGUGCCCUUUUUCAUAAUGUCAUCUACUUCGAAUGGUGGUGUGAAUCCUCAAACCAAAGUCCUUAUAGGCUUUGGAAUGAAUGUUUCUAAUAAACGUCUCCAAAGCAACAACUCCAUCAGUCUAACCAUCAACAACAUCACUAAAUCUAUUCUUGGGCUCUACUAUUGUACCUCUAAAGGAAACUUGAAAGUUGGGUCUGGCUACAUCCUUAGAUUUGAUCGUGAUGGACAAACAAAGCCGGCUACACUGCAAACAGACCAGAAUAAAGAUGGAAACAAUGAGCAAGUAUCAUUCA